CCCCCGGUAGCUCAGCAGGAAGAGCAUACAGAGCACAAUUCUGUAGACGCUGGUUCGAGUCCAGCCCGGGGGG
rnacentral:tRNA from 1 species